rnacentral:rRNA from 1 species
AGUCGAGGGGCAGCAUUUCAGUUUGCUUGCAAACUGGAGAUGGCGACCGGCGCACGGGCUGAGUAACACGCUAUCCAACCUGCCGAUAACUCGGGGAUAGCCUUUCGAAAGAAAGAUUAAUACCCGAUGGUAUAAUCAGACCGCAUGGUCUUAUUAUUAAAGAAUUUCGGUUAUCGAUGGGGAUGCGUUCCAUUAGGCAGUUGGUGAGGUAACGGCUCACCAAACCUUCGAUGGAUAGGGGUUCUGAGAGGAAGGUCCCCCACAUUGGAACUGAGACACGGUCCAAACUCAUACGGGAGGCAGCAGUGAGGAAUAUUGGUCAAUGGGCGCAGGCCUGAACCAGCCAAGUAGCGUGAAGGAUGACUGCCCUAUGGGUUGUAAACUUCUUUUAUAUGGGAAUAAAGUUUUCCACGUGUGGAAUUUUGUAUGUACCAUAUGAAUAAGGAUCGGCUAACUCCGUGCCAGCAGCCGCGGUAAUACGGAGGAUCCGAGCGUUAUCCGGAUUUAUUGGGUUUAAAGGGAGCGUAGGUGGACAGUUAAGUCAGUUGUGAAAGUUUGCGGCUCAACCGUAAAAUUGCAGUUGAUACUGGCUGUCUUGAGUACAGUAGAGGUGGACGGAAUUCGUGGUGUAGCGGUGAAAUGCUUAGAUAUCACGAAGAACUCCGAUUGCGAAGGCAGCUCACUGGACUGCAACUGACACUGAUGCUCGAAAGUGUGGGUAUCAAACAGGAUUAGAUACCCUGGUAGUCCACACAGUNAAACGAUGAAUACUCGCUGUUUGCGAUAUACAGUUAAGCGGCCAAGCGAAAAGCAUUAAGUANUUCCACCCUGGGGNAGUACGCCGGCAACGGUGAAACUCAAAGGAAUUGACGGGGGCCCGCACAAGCGGAGGAACAUGUGGUUUAAUUCGAUGAUACGCGAGGAACCUUACCCGGGCUUAAAUUGCAUUUGAAUAAUNUGGAAACAGGUUAGCCGNAAGGCAAAUGUGAAGGUGCUGCAUGGUUGUCGUCAGCUCGUGCCGUGAGGUGUCGGCUUAAGUGCCAUAACGAGCGCAACCCUUAUCUUUAGUUACUAACAGGUCAUGCUGAGGACUCUAGAGAGACUGCCGUCGUAAGAUGUGAGGAAGGUGGGGAUGACGUCAAAUCAGCACGGCCCUUACGUCCGGGGCUACACACGUGUUACAAUGGGGGGUACAGAAGGCAGCUACCUGGUGACAGGAUGCUAAUCCCAAAAGCCUCUCUCAGUUCGGAUCGAAGUCUGCAACCCGACUUCGUGAAGCUGGAUUCGCUAGUAAUCGCGCAUCAGCCAUGGCGCGGUGAAUACGUUCCCGGGCCUUGUACAAACCGCCCGUCAAGCCAUGAAAGCCGGGGGUACCUGAAGUACGUAACCGCAAGGAGCUUCCUA